GUCUCUAAGGAUGUCACAGUGGGUUUAUACAACACCAGAUGCAGCCAAAUCUGUGGCCGGAUAACAAAGUCACCCCUCCUGGAGCAGCACUGGGUGUGAAGUUUGCUCACCAGCAGUGUCCAGUGCUUUCCCGAAAACAUGUGUGUGUGUGUGCGCGUGUGCGUGCGUCCACCACCAACUGCUGUCUGUGUAUGAGCUUGUGCCUUUUCCCCAGAUCUUUCACUCGCAUGCACAGUGGUGACAUGUAUGAGAAGACCCCACCUUGUAUGUUGCAUGACUUGAAUGCCUCAUCUGACAUGUCCCCAGGAGGGGCUGGCGGCAGGCCUUGGGGAAGCAGGGUCACCACUGUUUAUGUGUUAGCUGCAUCCUUCUCUCCCCAUCUGUUCUUUGCUAUGUCGCCCUUGGUUUGCCU
rnacentral:lncRNA from 1 species